UGCCUAUACUGCAGUCGAGCGGCACCGACGGGAGCUUGCUCCCUUAGGUCAGCGGCGGACGGGUGAUUAACACGUGGGUCACCUGCCUGUAAGACUGGGAUAACUCCGGGAAACCGGGGCUAAUACCGGAUGCUUGAUUGAACCGCAUGGCUCAAUCAUAAAAGGGGGCUUUUCGCUACCACUUACAGAUGGACCCGCGGCGCAUUAGCUAGUUGGUGAGGUAACGGCUCACCGAGGCGACGAAGCACCACCCCACCUGAGAGGGUGAUCGGCCACACUGCCACUGAGACACCGCCCACACUCCUACGGGAGGCAGCAGUAGGGAAUCUUCCCCAAUGGACGAAAGUCUGACGGAGCAACGCCGCGUGAGUGAUGAAUGUUUUCGGAUCGAAAAACUCUGUUGUUAAGGAAGAACAAGUACCGUUCGAAUAGGGCGGACCUUGACGGACCUAACCAGAAAGCCACGGCUAACUACGUGCCAGCAGCCGCGGUAAUACGUAGGUGGCAGCGUUGCCGGAAUUAUUGGGCGUAAAGCGCGCGCAGGCGGUUUCUUAAGUCUGAAGGCAAGCCCCCGGCUCACCGGGGAGGGUCAUUGGAAACUGGGGAAUUGAGUGCAAAGAGGAGUUGGAAUUUACGUGUACAGUGAAAUGCAAGAGAUGUGCGAGGAACACCAGUGGCGAAGCUACUCUCUGGUCUGAACUGACGCUGAAGCGCGAAGCAUGCGGAGCGAACAGGAUUAGAUACCCUGGUAGUCCACGCCGUACACGAUGAGUGC
rnacentral:rRNA from 1 species